rnacentral:rRNA from 1 species
CAGCAGCCACGGUAAUACAGAGGGUGCAAGCGUUAAUCGGAAUUACUGGGCGUAAAGCGCGCGUAGGUGGUUUGUUAAGUUGGAUGUGAAAGCCCGGGCUCAACCUGGGAACUGCAUCCAAAACUGGCAAGCUAGAGUACGGUAGAGGGUGGUGGAAUUUCCUGUGUAGCGGUGAAAUGCGUAGAUAUAGGAAGGAACACCAGUGGCGAAGGCGACCACCUGGACUGAUACUGACACUGAGGUGCGAAAGCGUGGGGAGCAAACAGGAUUAGAUACCCCCGUAGUCCCUGUCUCUUAUACA